UACGAAGGGGGCUAGCGUUGCUCGGAAUCACUGGGCGUAAAGCGCACGUAGGCGGACUCUUAAGUCGGUGGUGAAAUCCUGGAGCUCAACUCCAGAACUGCCUUUGAUACUGGCUGUCUUGAGUUCGGGAGAGGUGAGUGGAAUGCCGAGUGUAGAGGUGAAAUUCGUAGAUAUUCGGCGGGACACCAGUGGCGAAGGCGACUCACUGGCCCGAUACUGACGCUGAGGCGCGAAAGCGUGGGGAGCAAACAGG
rnacentral:rRNA from 1 species